rnacentral:rRNA from 1 species
AUGAUAAUCCUUAGUCUGAAUUGUCGAGGUUGUGGGAAAUCUGAAACAGUUCCAGAACUCCGCUAUCUUGUGAAUUACCAUCAUCCUGAUAUCAUAUUCUUAAUGGAGACAAAGAUGAGCAAGGGGAAGUGUGAACAAUUGCAAUGGAUGAUGGGUUUUCCCCAUGGACUGUGUGUUAAGUCUGACGCGCGAAGUGGUGGUAUUGCAUUGUGGUGGAAAAAAGAAAUA